rnacentral:tRNA from 1 species
AUUCUCAAAUGGCAGAGAAUCAGAACUUUGUGAGGAAGGUGAAGAGGGUUCGAAUCCCUCUCUGUCCGCCA